ensembl:lncRNA
AUAAGAAGUGCGAGAGAGGUUGAUUGGCAACUAUUUUGGCCAAUCCGUAAGCAGAAUAAUGCAGCUAUGGCGAUUGUGCACUGUUUGCUGAUUUGCAACCCGCCGAAACAGUACUGAAGAAGAAGGAGACCAUCGCCCGUUUCGCCAUGGACUGUUCUAGGAUCAGUAUAGUAGAACAACAACAUUAACCGUAGAGCGGUGCAUCAUAACGGGGACUACAUUAAAUGUGAUAGGAAUGUAGUGGAAAAUUGAACUGAAGCAAUCUCUAAAAACAGCACACCAAAUGUCAACUCACCCAUAGUGGGGUGCCAGUUCAGUCAGUUCAAGGAAAACCGCAAACCACAGUUUGAGUAAUGGAACCUACGCCUAGCAUCCAUAUGACCUCCAUCCCCACCACAAAUGACCUAGUCCAGGUUUCGGUGGGUGACGCCAUGCCUGUUGGCAUAUACCAGCCUCAGGACCAAGGCCAGAACGCAGGGCACAGCGCGUUGGCGUCGGCCGUGGUCAUGCAAGCCUUGGCCCACGUGACCCAAGACGGGCCCACCCAAGCGGCGACCGCCAUGGAGGGAACGCUGGGAGCCCAGAACGAGUCCUCGAGCGUCCCCAUCCCUGUGUACGAGCUCCCCUUCGCCGAGGUGGCCUCCUUGCUGGACCCCAACAUGAAGAGCUCCAAGGCGCGCAAGUACCAGAUCUGCUACGACGAGGUGAAGCGGCGGCUGGAGCCCCCGGAGAAGAUGUCCCUGCGCUCGCUGGCGGCCUACACCAGGGUGAGCCGAGGCCCCGCCAGCAAGAGGUCACUGCUGGAGUCGCUCAACGUCCUGGGGCUGUCGCCGAGCACCAACACGGCCGUGUCCAGCUCCUUCUCCAAACUCACAGAAGGUGACACCGCGGCGCUCUGUAAAGACAUGAAGGACUUUGCGUUCCAGUACGUGGACUACGAGAACAUGGCCAAACAGCUGAUGCCAGAGUCCAAUCAUGUGCAACACUGGUCAAAGAUCAUUGAGACAAGGAAUUACCUGGAGGAGAUGAGGAAGUGUUUCCGCGACCCGGUCAACAGCAAGUCCUUCACCAACGCCACGCACGGCCUGGGCCCAGGCAUGCUGGACGUAGCGCUGGACAUGGUGGACGGCGUCAUCGAGCGGCAGAUCCGCAUCCUCUCGGGCAACUCCGAGCCCAAGUCCGAGUCGGCGGUCCAGAAAGUGCGCAAGCGCAUGAGGAAGCCCCGGGCGCCCAAGGACAACAACAAACACCCCAGGGAGGGCAAAUCUAGAGGCAGGGGCAAGAGCAAGGCUGGCCCCAGCGCCAAUGUGGGCGCCAACGUCGACGGCGACACCCAGAGCAGGAAACAGAUCCGAUUGGACCCCGGCACCGCCACCGCAGAGACCCAGGAGCCUGCGUCCAUGGAGAGCAGCGUCCUGACCCUGGUCUCCGUGGGUUACGAAACCAUCUCCAGUGGGCUCGGCACCACAACGACAGGCCUAGCGUAACCAUGGGGACACCAACUGUCAAGGACCCUGAGCAAAGUGCUCCGACUCAGAGCAUAGGUGUUACUGUUGUUGUGGGUAGAUUUAAAGGUUAGUUUCACAUGGCCAUAGGUGUCUGAGUUCGUCAGAGGGCUAAAGACCUUUCUUCAAAUGGAUAUUUACACAAUCAGAAAGUACUACUUCCAUACGACAUGCUAGUUGUGUGAAGCACUGUGAUGGUUUGGAACGCACUGCUUAAAACUGGUCUAAAGCACUGAUUUCUUUUUCUGUUCUGUUUUGGAUUUAGAUUUGGUUACAUACUUAGAGAAAAAAAAACAAGUCAGUUCAAACUCAUUUUACUGAGUAAUGGCGCCCAGUAAUGGGACUUUCAUUUUGUGUCCUGGGAUGAUUUUUAUGUUGGGGGGGGGUUAUGACUGAUUCUAAUGUAUGUGUCAAAAGACAACAGGACAGCUUGACGACUUGUAUUAAAUGAUUCAAGAAUUUUUUUAAUAUAUAUAUUGGCUUCACCGUCCUUGUUUUCAACACUAAACUGAAAGCCAUGGGCUUUUUGCAUUACAUGCAUUUUGGCAUCUUCCUCUCUUUCAUAUUCCACCUCAUGCCUGUGAUGGCAGCAUAACUGCUUGUGAAAAUAUAUAUGAACGUCUCUGCGAUCGGUAGGGUUUUCUAUUAUGAAUUAGAUCUCGUUAUGUCUUAGGUGAGAUUGCUUCUCACCUGUCUGAUUCUCCAUAAAUUGAAAACCACAAUCUGGGCUUGUUCAGGAGAACUCCUGCAGCACGGUUUGAAAUCUGGGCAUGUUCAGGAGGACUCCUGCAGCACGGUUUGAAAUCUGGGCAUGUUCAGGAGGACUCGCUUCAUUAGCU